rnacentral:lncRNA from 1 species
CUGGAAUCAGCACGAGUGCCUUAUGCAGGAUCCUCAUCACCUUGCUGGGCUUUGCCUCCACUGUGUUGCAUCUUUGUUCUCAGAUACCAGA